rnacentral:rRNA from 1 species
GGAAGUAAAAGUCGUAACAAGGUUUCCGUGGGUGAACCUGCGGAAGGAUCAUUACAAUUCAGUAGCUUGCUACUGUAAGGAGGUGCUGUAAGCCCGCAUAGUUUAAUUACUGAUGAGCGGCAGGCCCUCUGUUUGUACCCUUGUCUUUUGCGCACUCAUGUUUCCUCGGCGGGCUUGCCCGCCGAUUGGACAAAACUAUAACCUUUUUAAUUUUCAAUCAGCGUCUGAAAAAACUUAAUAAUUACAACUUUCAACAACGGAUCUCUUGGUUCUGGCAUCGAUGAAGAACGCAGCGAAAUGCGAUAAGUAGUGUGAAUUGCAGAAUUCAGUGAAUCAUCGAAUCUUUGAACGCACAUUGCGCCCCUUGGUAUUCCAUGGGGCAUGCCUGUUCGAGCGUCAUUUGUACCUUCAAGCUCUGCUUGGUGUUGGGUGUUUGUCUCGCCUCUGCGUGUAGACUCGCCUCAAAACAAUUGGCAGCCGGCGUAUUGAUUUCGGAGCGCAGUACAUCUCGCGCUUUGCACUCAUAACGACGACGUCCAAAAGUACAUUUUUACACUCUUGACCUCGGAUCAGGUAGGGAUACCCGCUGAACUUAAGCAUAUCAAUAAGCGGAGGA